UACGUAGGGUGCGAGCGUUGUUCGGAAUUACUGGGCGUAAAGGGCUCGUAGGUGGCCAACUAAGUCAGACGUGAAAUCCCCAGGCUCAACUUGGGAACUGCGUCUGAUACUGGAUGGCUAGAGUUUGGGAGAGGGAUGCGGAAUUCCAGGUGUAGCGGUGAAAUGCGUAGAUAUCAGGAGGAACACCGGUGGCGAAGGCGGGCUCACUGGGCCCGAUACUGACGCUGAGGCACGAAAGCGUGGGGGAGCAAACAGGG
rnacentral:rRNA from 1 species